rnacentral:rRNA from 1 species
UACGUAGGUGGCAAGCGUUGUCCGGAAUUAUUGGGCGUAAAGCGCGCGCAGGUGGUUCCUUAAGUCUGAUGUGAAAGCCCACGGCUCAACCGUGGAGGGUCAUUGGAAACUGGGGAACUUGAGUGCAGGAGAGAAGAGUGGAAUUCCACGUGUAGCGGUGAAAUGCGUAGAGAUGUGGAGGAACACCAGUGGCGAAGGCGGCUCACUGGGCCGAUCCUGACGCUGAGGCACGAAAGCGUGGGGAGCAAACAGG